UGCAUAGCUCAGUCGGUAGAGCAGAGGACUGAAAAUCCUCGUGUCAGUGGUUCGAUUCCACUUGUAGCC
rnacentral:tRNA from 1 species